UACGUAGGGUGCAAGCGUUAAUCGGAAUUACUGGGCGUAAAGCGUGCGCAGGCGGUGAUGUAAGACAGGUGUGAAAUCCCCGGGCUUAACCUGGGAACUGCAUUUGUGACUGCAUCGCUGGAGUGCGGCAGAGGGGGGUGGAAUUCCGCGUGUAGCAGUGAAAUGCGUAGAGAUGCGGAGGAACACCGAUGGCGAAGGCAGCCCCCUGGGCUAACACUGACGCUCAGGCACGAAAGCGUGGGGAGCAAACAGG
rnacentral:rRNA from 1 species